rnacentral:tRNA from 10 species
UAGAUAGAUGCUCGCUGGUUUGAGUGCUUAGCUGUUAACUAAGAGUUUAAAGGAUCGAGGCCUUUCUGUCUAG